rnacentral:rRNA from 1 species
GACGAACGCUGGCGGCGUGCUUAACACAUGCAAGUCGAACGGAAAGGCCCUGCUUUUGUGGGGUGCUCGAGUGGCGAACGGGUGAGUAACACGUGAGUAACCUGCCCUUGACUUUGGGAUAACUUCAGGAAACUGGGGCUAAUACCGGAUAGGAGCUCCUGCUGCAUGGUGGGGGUUGGAAAGUUUCGGCGGUUGGGGAUGGACUCGCGGCUUAUCAGCUUGUUGGUGGGGUAGUGGCUUACCAAGGCUUUGACGGGUAGCCGGCCUGGGAGGGUGACCGGCCACAUUGGGACUGAGGUACGGCCCAGACUCCUACGGGAGGCAGCAGUGGGGAAUAUUGCACAAUGGGCGGAAGCCUGAUGCAGCAACGCCGCGUGCGGGAUGAUGGCCUUCGGGUUGUAAACCGCUUUCGCCUGUGACGAAGCGUGAGUGACGGUAAUGGGUAAAGAAGCACCGGCUAACUACGUG